UGAGCGGUUCAGAGAGUAUCGCCACUGACUGAACAGGCCCAGAUCUACGGAGGCAGAGUGGGGAUUUGGACAAUGGGCACCCUGAUCAGCAUGCGCUGAAGUGAAGAAGGCUCGGGUGUAAGCUCUUCGCCGGGAAAAUCGCCUCCCUAUACGGGGGUGGAUGAUGUACGGACUAGAAGCACGCUACUACGUGCAGCAGCGCGGUAAUACGUAGGGUGCGAGCGUAAUCGGAAUUACUGGGCGUAAAGCGUGCGCAGGCGGUUUUUAAGACAGGCGUGAAAUCCCCGGGCUUAACCUGGGAACUGCGUUUGUGACUGUGGGACUCGAGUGUGGCAGAGGGGGGUGGAAUUUCCACGUGUAGCAGUGAAAUGCGUAGAGAUGUGGAGGAACACCGAUGGCGAAGGCAGCCCCCUGGGUCAACACUGACGCUCAUGCACGAAAGCGUGGGGAGCAAACAGGAUUAGAUACCCUGGUAGUCCACGCCCUAAACGAUGCGAACUAGGUGUUGGGGAAGGAGACUUUCUUAGUACCGCAGCUAACGCGUGAAGUUCGCCGCCUGGGGAGUACGGUCGCAAGAUUAAAACUCAAAGGAAUUGACGGGGACCCGCACAAGCGGUGGAUGAUGUGGAUUAAUUCGAUGCAACGCGAAAAACCUUACCUACCC
rnacentral:rRNA from 1 species